GUGAGAAGAGAGUGGUCAGGGGCCAGAGUUUCACAAUUGGACAUGAGGGAUACAGAGGCGGGGGAGGGGCGGAGACGCCUUUCCUUCCUCCCUUGGCCACCAGCCUCCUCCGGCCUGAGGUCUGGUCUGGUGAGGCAGAGCACAGAGCAUGCCUCUGCUGUCUGUGUGAGUUCCUGAGGAGUGAGAUCUUUAAUUUUUGUCUGCUGAGCCCCGAUGGGCAAGAGGCCAGCCUGUGUUACAACCUCCCGGAGGCCCCUGGGCCAAGGCGCUCAGACCGGAGUGGACGGAAACAAGGAGUCUUCAAGACUCUGCUUGGGGAGAAGUUAUGCUUCAGCCCUAGGAGUUUGAGAAGAUUCCACUCCAGCCAGAGGCUGAAGGAAUUUACGCAGGUACGAAGGAAAUGUUGUUGGAACUUUAGCUAAAUGCACAGAGCUUUCAGACCAGCCCACCGUUGUAUCAAAGACUGCAAAUGAAGGGAAACGGAGUGAAAUCAGUUAUCUUGAAGAGCUGCCCAUUUCACAUCAUUGCAGGACAUCCUGGAGCGAACGCAGUGUGCUGUAGUGGAAACAGCACGGACUUUGGAGCCGUUCAGACGUUUUAGUUGAAUCUUGGCUCGACUCCUAGCUGUACGACCUUGAGCAAGAGACUUCACCCUUCUGGGUUUGUAAAAUGGGAGUUACCAUGUCUACCACACAGGGCCACACAGAUGCUCUAUUUGUGUCAUGUCUCUUUUCCAAAGAGAAAAGCUGAAGGUUGGGAUGAACCUUACUCAGCAAUUGAAUGUGUCUUGAUGUAGGGCAAACUUGAUUUCCUUCCUUCUCCUUGAUGAAUGGGAAUCAGAUUCACUGACACUCACCAUGAUGACUUUGUCUGCCCUUGACCCAAAGUGGACCUCUAGCUGUGAAUAGGCCUGAGGAGGGUGGGGUGUGAUUGGAGGGGGCUAGCUUGUGACAGCAAUUCCAUGUGGCCCCGUGCCCCCCGCCCCCUUGCCGCCAACCACAAACAGCUGUGAAUGUUUCUAUUUCCCAGAGAACUGUAGUGUCUCUGGGAAAUGCUACUCUGGAAGCUGGCACUGGGUUAGUGUCUGGAACCAGACAAACUGGGAGGGAAUCCUAGUGGAGCCACUUACUAGCCUCGUGAUUGUGGGCAAGUCAUUUUACCUCUCUGAGCCUUCAUUUCUUCAUCUGCUACAUGAUGAAAUAAUAACACUUUCUAAGAUUACUGUGGGGACUAAAUGAGACAACGUCUGUAAAACACUUAGCACAGUGCCUGGUACAUUCUAAGCGCUCAAGAAAUAUCAGCUGGAAAAGUGGAGUAAUAGCAGGAUAGAUAAGGUGGGGGUGGCAAGAAGAGCAUCAUUAUCUCCAUUUUCAGAUGAGAAAAUAGAAGCCAAGUGUAGCUCAGAACUGAGCUCAGUUCGUGGAAGACAGAAACAUUCACAUUUUGGGAGGAGACGGCACAGGCGGUCCAGGGCAGGGUGGCUGUGAGUUCUAGGGGGGUUGCCAGGAUGCCGUGUCUGAGGUAGACCGGUCUGGGGAGCCUCUUGAAGGCCUCAUGCAGGAGGGAGUCAAGGCCUCUUCAUGCAGCCUCAACCUUCCAACUGGAGGCUGGAGCUGCACAGUGCAGGGGUCCCAGCUGCCUGGCAUCUGGACCAGGACACCCCAGCCCCAGAGCUGCUUCCAUCUGGAAGGCUGAGGCCCAAUCAACCUUUCUUCAGCUGUUCUGCCCACUGAUUAACCAGGAAAUGUGUUAUUUGUUCUGAGCAGGGGAACAAGCUCUCCUAGGGAGAGGAAUUCAGGGCUGGAGGUCCAGUCACUUCCAAGGAAGAAAAAUCCCUGGAAUCCUGUCAGGAGUCUGGGUCUCGGCAAAGGGAGCAGAAAUGUGGUCCUUGCUUUUGGUCCUUAUUUACCAAAUUAGUUCAAGUUCUGGUAGCUUUCUGGCCGCCAGCAUUAUUCCAACAAGACAUGGGAAAGCAAUUAGGUUGCCCUAGGUGUCCAGCAGACUGCCAUCCCCACUUAUGGUGCACACGUCCUGGCAAACCUCUUCUGCUGGAAUCUUCUUAUUGACCCCUUGGGAGUUUCCCUGCAGGGCUUUCCAAAGGUGAUUUCCCUCCCCAGACUUAAGAGAUGAGUGAGUGGGCUUAGCAGCAUUCUGUGCCUCUUAGGGGGGAUGCUGGGGUCAGAGAGUAAGGAAGUGACACAUGGUGAGUAAGGGGCCAUGCUGGAAACAGCUUCUUCUCUUACUGGGCAGGGAGGGAGAAGGGGACAGAAAGUUCUGCUAAUUCCAUAUCCCCAGGGACUUGCGUCGUGGGCUAGUAGGCAGGGAAAAAAGUACUUGGGAAUGUGUAGUGGAGGUACUCAGGUGGUGACAGCAGCAGACACGGUUGAGAAAGAUACCACUUCAAUUGUGAGGAUGGCAAUGAAGUCACAAGCCCAUGAGUGAGGCAAGAUGGUACAGUCUUAAAAGCUUGGCCUCAGGUGGGAAAUGACCAAAGUGUGAAUCCUGCAGACGCAGGAUUUAUCAGCUACUUAUCAGCUGUGUGAUCUUGAGUAACCUAGUAGCUCUUCCCAACAUCAGUUUCUUCCUUUGUAUAUGUGGAAAUAAAAAUAUCUCCUUUAUUUGGUUAAA